GGACAGCCAUCGCCGAGUCCCCGUACGGCGCGAGCCAGGGGAGCCGGGGACCCAUCUGUGUCCCUGGGGUGAAUCGGACGCCCGCGCCACGGCGAGGGGGUCCGUAGGAGACCUUCCUGCUCCGAACCCGUCAGCUAACCCGGUAGGCGAGAGGGAAGGAAAGG
rnacentral:sRNA from 2 species